GCUCACUUCAGCCCCACAUGUACUAAGAUUGGAACGAGACAGAGAAGGUCAGCAUGACCCCUGCACAAGCAUCACAGGUAAAUCUGUGUUUUCCUAUCUCUAUCU